rnacentral:tRNA from 1 species
AGCCAGUAAGCUACGAGCACAUGCCUUGAAAGCAUGAGAUUAAAGGCUAAGCCCUUUACUGGCUU